UAAGCCCAGUACUUAUUCUAUCAGUCUCUUUUGCCGAACCGCUAAGUUUUUAGGACAUAAACACACCAACAUUGGUUGUCAAGUGAUAGCAAGG